AGCGAACGCUGGCGGCAGGCCUAACACAUGCAAGUCGAGCGGACGUAGCAAUACGUCAGCGGCAGACGGGAGAGUAACACGUGGGAACGCGCCCUUCGGUUCGGGAUAACUCAGGGAAACUUGGGCUAAUACCGGAUACGCCCUUACGGGGAAAGAUUUAUUGCCGAAGGAACGGCCCGCGUCCGAUUAGCUUGUUGGUGAGGUAACGGCUCACCAAGGCGAAGAUCGGUAGCUGGUCUGAGAGGAUGACCAGCCUCACUGGGACUGAGACACGGCCCAGACUCCUACGGGAGGCAGCAGUGGGGAAUAUUGGACAAUGGGCGCAAGCCUGAUCCAGCCAUGCCGCGUGGGUGAUGAAGGCCCUAGGGUUGUAAAGCCCUUUCGGCGGGGAAGAUAAAGACGGUACCCGCAGAAGAAGCCCCGGCUAACUUCGUGCCAGCCGCCGCUGUAAGAC
rnacentral:rRNA from 1 species